rnacentral:rRNA from 1 species
CCAAUAGCGUAUAUUAAAGUUGUUGCAGUUAAAAAGCUCGUAGUUGAAUUUCGGGAUCAAUAUGUCGGUCGUGCCUCGGUACGUACUGGCAUUGUUGGUUUCUACCUUCUGAAGAACCGCGAUGUCAUAUAUUUGGUGUCGUGGGGAAUCAGGACUGUUACUUUGAAAAAAUUAGAGUGUUUAAAGCAGGCUCACGCUUGAAUACAUUAGCAUGGAAUAAUGAAAUAGGACGUUUGAUUCUAUUUUGUUGGUUUCUAGGAUAGACGUAAUGAUUAAUAGGGAUAGUUGGGGGCAUUAGUAUUCAAUUGUCAGAGGUGAAAUUCUUGGAUUUAUUGAAGACUAACUACUGCGAAAGCAUUUGCCAAGGAUGUUUUCAUUAAUCAAGAACGAAAGUUAGGGGAUCGAAGACGAUCAGAUACCGUCGUAGUCUUAACCAUAAACUAUGCCGACUAGGGAUCGGAUGAUGUUAAUUUUUUAAUGACUCAUUCGGCGCCUUACG